AUUAGAUGAAAAGUGCCCUGCGGGUCCGCCACUCUAAGGAUGGAGUAAAUGGAAUUGAAUUGGGAAUUGAAUGCUCUAGAAGAGACAGAUGUUGUUUCAUUGGUUUUGCUUUUGGUAACAAGAUCUGUUGGCGACAUCUUAGUGUCAUAUCUCUGCUUGCAGUUUUGGAAGAAUUGUUCUCUCAACAUUAGGAAUUAUUAUUACACUGAAAAAGUCCUUCUCAUUGGUAUCCAGACAACCGUUCUGUUGGUCGAGCUGAAGAAAAAAAUUGAUCCAAAGGUUAAAUGAAAUCACAACGUGUGUCUUGGCGGUGCCUUGUAGUUUAAUAUUUCCACGUGCUCUGGAUUCUUAAGACAAGCCUAUGAGGUAGCAGGAUGAGCAAAACGAAGUUUCGAGAAGUGAAGUGAAUGAUUUUUUUUCUCAAGGGUGAAAGCUAGGAACUGGCUGAGCUGGAAGCAGAUUCUCCUGACUUGAAUUUCCCAGUGCUUUCCACCACGUUGCCUCUCAAAUACAGAGCAAAUCAAAUCGCAUUGUGGAAGUUCAAAGAUAAUGCUGGCAAAUCGACAUGCAUAAAGGACUGGUUUGUGAUGUAAAACGGUACCUGACCCUGCCGGCUCCUGAGCCACAAAGAAAUACCUUUAAUUACCGGUGGCCGUGUUUCGUUGUGGAUGUACCAGUGUCAGCUUCCAGGGACGUGACCUCAGGUCCACCCCCUUCCCCCCCCC